rnacentral:tRNA from 1 species
AGGAGAAUAGUUUAAUGGUAGAAUGAGAACCUCCAAAGUUAUUGAUAAGAGUUCGAAUCUCUUUUCUCCUG